ensembl:lncRNA
GGCAUAUGGAGGUUCCCAGGCUAGGGGUCUAAUCGGAGCUGUAGCCGCCGGCCUACACCAGAGCCACGCAGGAUCUGAGCCACAUCUGUGGCCUAUACCACAGCUCCCUGGCUCCUUAACCCACUGAGCAAGGCCAGGGAUCGAACCCACAACCUCAUGGUUCCUUGUUGGAUUCAUUAACCACUGAGCUACAACGGGAACUCCAUAUUUUUAAAAAGCCUUUGUCAUUUUAUUGAUAUGAGACUCAGUGAAGGAAAAGGAAAAUAAAUAAACCCUUUGUUUAAACUUCAUGGUAUUCAAAAGGAGGGAAAAAGUUAACUUGUAGGAAAAAACAGCCACAAGAGGGGUAAAUACCAUUAACUUUAGGUACUGAGUUCCACUAGAAUAAAUUUAGAACCUAGAUAAAUCACACAAACUCCGAAGUCCUAACUGCUGGUAAAAGAACAUACACUAUGCCACACUAUAACACUGAGCAAGUAUGUCCUUGAGCCCAAGAUGCCCCUCGCAUUCAGUGUUCCAUAAACUCCAGGUACUUGGCUCAGGGCACAUUUGGGAAGAGUUUGUACAAACACAGAGCAUGUGAUUGAGCUGAAAUCCUGCAAGGAAGAAAAGUCAUACCUAUCAACCACCAGUGUACAAUAUAAAGUCAGUUAAUUGGAGUUCCCAUCGUGGCAUAGUGGAAACGAAUCCCAACUAGGAACCAUGAGGUCACAGGUUCAAUCCCUGGCCUUAAUCAGUGGGUUAAGGAUCUGGCAUUGCCAUGAGCUGUGGUGUAGGUCACAGACGUGGCUCAGAUCUAGCGUUGCAGUGGCUAUGGUGUAGGCCGGCAGCAACAGCGCCAAUUGGGGCGCGGGGGGGGGGACGGCCAUAUGCUUCAAGCGCAGCCCUCAAGACAAAAAAAAAAAAAACCAUAACUAUGGUUACAGUGGAUGUUAGCGUUAUCUAACUGCUUCUUUUGAGUUUAUAGCCAUCUAAGUUUAUAGUCUUCUUCCUUAUUUAGAUCCCAGGAUCUAGAAAGCUCAGUCUCAUCUGUAGACACCUCUGAGAUGAUGAAAGGGCCCAGGCUUUGAAGUCAGACAAAUCUGGGUUUGAAUCUUGGCUCUCACCAUGUAUUAACUUUAUGACCCUGAGCAAGUUGACUUAAUCCCCGAGUUUCAGUUCCCUCUGUAAAACUGAGACAACACAAAUGCUACAGAGUGGCUUUGAGGAUUAGAGCUACAUUUAAGUAAAGUGCAUAGAGGGGUGCUGGACAGUCAGUCCUUAAACUGUCAUUUAAUAUAAGGCUAAAGUGAAAAGAUGUCGCUUAGAUAAAACCAUGAAAAACAAGUGUACAGAGGUGUGGGGGGGCACAGAACAAUGAUUAUUUUGAACUCAUCUCUUUUCCCUAUCACUUAAGUCUCCAUAUACUUUUAGGAAUAGUGGUAGAUUCAGAUUACCUGCACCUGCCAUAUUCAUUUUUAGUAUUAAACGCAUCCUCUACAACAAGUUGUUUGUUUUGUUUUGUUUUAAAUCAGGGUUAAAAGAUUACUUUCCACACUUCAAGAGUGACUUUGGACAUUCAUUCUCUUGUGUGAAAAGGCCCUUUGCCAGAAGACAUCAGGACAAGCCAAAUUCUAUGCAGUCAGAUAGCAUUCCCCGAACAGCAGCUCUGCCACUUACUUACAGCUUUAUUAAAGGUCAUCGAACAAUUGAAGAGUCUGGUUUUCCUGGAAGGCUGGUUCUUUGUCUGGUUUUACAUUAAUAUGGUAGUAAGGGCUAACUACCCGCUCAGCUGUAGAGGCCUCUGAGCUCCUGAGAAUCUGUCACCACAGGUUUGGUUUGCACCAUGACCCUCACUGAGGACACUGGUUUCUAUAGCAGCGCUUCAAGCUUUAAUGCACAUCUCAUUAACGUGCAGGUUCUGAUUCAGGAGGUCUGGACAGGGGCAUAAGACAAUACAGGCUCCCACAUGAUGCCUGUGCCCAUUUCCAGACCGCACUGGAAGUGGCAAGGGUCUACAGGACCAGGAUAAUUAGAAUUCACAAACCAACGAACACACAAAGUUCUUCCAUUUUUGGGGUUCAAAAUGGGGGCAGCGACUGCCAACCAACCUUUAGAAAGUUGCAAGGUUAUAGAAGCUGUGUAAAACCAAUGAAGUACACAUAGAACUCAAAGGAAAAUGAAUAGGACUCUAUUCACAGGGACCAUUACCAUUCUCUUCAGCUGAAACCAUUCUCCCAUUCCUCUGUCUCCAAAACAAAGCCCUUUUCUCCUAGAGGUAUCUUUUUCCUUAGCUCUAUAAACUGUUUCUCUGGGUUGCUGUUAAUGAAAAAUCAAGACAUGGCUAUUGUCUCCUGUUGUCUUAGUAGAGAAAAGUUAUUUUAAGUCUGGGGGGAAAAAAAACAGUAACAGCGUAACGAAUGCAAUCAGCUUAGAACACUAAUCAGGCAGGCACCAAUGGUUUCAUGAAAAUCGGACAUGCAUUUUGUAACUGUCACUGACUUACAAGCAGUCUGACCUUCAGGGACCAAAUAAAUGAGCAAACAAUCUCAGGGUCAUUUUCCCAUUUUAAAGUAGAGGUUUUAUGCUGUGGUCAUAAGAAAAAAAAAAAGUGUUCCAAGAAAUAGUGUAGAUGAAACACAAGGCUGGAACCAGGCAAAGUCCCGGAGUUGAUACCACCAGGCCAGGUCCCAAGCUAAGCAACCUUGCUCACCUAGUUAACCUACAUCUUUACACCUGCCAACUGAACCCUACUCCCUAACUCACCUGUUCC